rnacentral:misc_RNA from 1 species
GAUGAAGAACGUAGCGAAAUGCGAUAAGUAAUGUGAAUUGCAGAAUUCAGUGAAUCAUCGAAUCUUUGAACGCACCUUGCGCCCUUUGGACAUUCCGAAGGGCAUGCCUGUUUGAGUAUCAUGAACACCUCAACUCUCACGGCUUGUCCGUGAUGAGCUUGGACUUUGGGGGUCUUGCCGGCCUGUGGUCGGCUCCUCUCAAAUGGAUCAGCUUGCCAGUGUUUGGUGGCAUCACAGGUGUGAUAACUAUCUGCGCUUGUGGUUUUCCAUCAGAUAACCUUCAGUGAUAUGGAGGUUCGCUGGAGCUCACAAAUGUCUCUCCUUAGUGAGGACAGCUCUUUGAACGUUUGAUCUCAAAUCAGGUAGGAAUACCCGCUGAACUUAAGCAUAUCAAUAAGCGGAGGA